rnacentral:rRNA from 1 species
UACGGAGGGUGCAAGCGUUGUUCGGAAUCACUGGGCGUAAAGCGCGUGUAGGCGGCCCAUUAAGUCAGGUGUGAAAUCCCUUGGCUCAACUAAGGAAUUGCAUCUGAAACUGGUAGGCUUGAGUACGGGAGAGGAGAGUGGAAUUCCCGGUGUAGAGGUGAAAUUCGUAGAUAUCGGGAAGAACACCGGUGGCGAAGGCGGCUCUCUGGACCGAUACUGACGCUGAGACGCGAAAGCGUGGGGAGCAAACAGG